GCCUUCAUAGCACAGUUGGUAAUGCGCCUCCAGCACCGACACCCCUAUUACCCCUGUCGGGACUGGCGAGCUUGUGGGUUCGAUUCCCUCUGGAAGCA